AUCCUGUACCGAACACUGUGGAGAGCAACUGCAGCGCCUUGCUCCAAAAUCUGCGGCCGCCUUGAUCUCACGAGGUUAUCGGUGCCUACGUAUGCAUGACGUCAGAGCAAGUCGGACACAAAUCUAACCGGCAUGCACUGCUCGCCGGUCACCGCUGGUCUAAUCUGCUCAGAACUGGCUCAUCUGGAACACGGCCAACGUGAUGGCCUAGCCUGGAAAACAGAGGAGGGCAGAUGGAUGCAGCAGGGGGCGUGGCUAAAAGCUGACGUUUCCCUACAUGGAGCUUGCGGAUGACGACUGUUCGCCUCUACAGGGAGGACGUGACCUUCGAGCUGUCCUGGCAGACCAAGCGAGUCGGUGUUAUCAGUAACACUCCCAUGAGAAAAGUCUGGGAACUGCUUUGUUGAUUCAGUGUGCACCUGGAGCCCAGCAGCUUCCCGCCUGAUGGUCUAGUAUACUGUGAUGUGCGUGUGUGUGUUUCAACUCUGUGCUUCAAUAAAUACUGCGGAGGACGUAAGUCUGACGAGAGAGCGAUCUGAAUCAUGCUUGGUGUGUGUUGUUUAUGAUUGGUAUUGGUGUUGCUUGAUUACUACAACCCCCCGUGCAUUAAACGUCCCCUAAGGUAGUCCUGCAUUGAUACAACUACCUAACAAUGAUGGCUGAAGGUGUCGCGUUAGCGUUCAGAUCUUUGGCCGUGUUCCAGAUGAGCCACUUCUGCGCAGACUGGAUCAGCGGUGAUCGGCGAGCAGUGCAUGCAGGUGUCAGUUUCCACCACCUAAUUGACCACAAGAUGACCGUUGACCUGCAGACACCAACCCACCAUCCAUCUGGCCUCCAGAUCCAGAAGCUUGUGCUCAGUCCUGGUUUUACUACAAGCAGCAGAAGGUCUGCUUCCUCCCUCUGAACAAGUCUUCGUCCUGUAGGCUCCUGCAGGACUAUGUUACAUUAAUCUAACAGGGCUGAUGGUGUGAUACAGGUGUGUGUGUACCUGUGUCAUCGGCGGCUGAUGGUGUGGUACAGGUGUGACCUGGUGCUGAUGGUGUGGUACAGGUGUGACCUGGU